AUAAUCUAGGGCCUUUACUACCAUUUAAAAAAAGACUUUUGUUGGAUGGACCCUAAGUAUCCCAUAUCCUAUGAUUCACACUUUUUGAUAGGAAGGAAGACUGAGUCUUUGCAAAAUGUCUCAGAAGCAUAGAGGAAACAUUUCCCGAAGGCCAUGGCCUUGAUCAUGCCUAUAUUUGAGGGUCAUUCGAUCAUGUCAUAAGAUUUCCCAAAAAUCAAUCUUAAUGAAGAGGGUGUUGAAAUCAAGUAAACAUUUGAGGGAAUUCCGUAAUUUUUUACCCUUCAAGGAAUAUCACAGACAACCUUCCAUCCAAAGUCAACAAAAUUGAAACCCAUUUUUUAGAGUUGUUGGUGGCUCAUCCUAUAACUGAGGACAACGUUAGGAAAUCCAGAGACGUCCUCGGGGGCCUUGAGAAGAGUUAUCUUUUCUUUUUAACAGCUUUCCCACCCUGAAAUCGGCUCUAUUGGAGAUAGGGUCUAGCAGAUGGAAGAGCAUUAGAUGUCUUGUUGUGUCCAGUGUGCCCUCGGUGGCCCUUGAAAAUAUGGAGGACCGAGUACCAUCCAUGCCUGGUCGUACUCAUAACUGCAUCAGGUCUCCAAGGUGAACAACCUCUGGUCAAUAGAACAAUGUAGGUAAGGAAAGUUGGAAAAAUAGAUCUGUAACUUCAGGAAAAGGAUUGGCUCUGAGGGCUGGGCCUAGGGCUCUGCAUCCUCAACCCAUGGGCUAUCUACAGUAUUCCCGUGGGACUGUCAUUGAUUAAUGAUACCUCCUUUUGAAUGGUAUUGCAACUAACUAAUGCUACUUUCUUUUGAAUGGUAGAGCACCACCUAUCAUUCAUGAUCCAACACAUAGU
rnacentral:ncRNA from 1 species